AGGGGAUGAAAAGGAAGGGGUGCCGCAGCUUGCACAGAAGGUAUGGGAAUGGCAUUACUGCUUUAUUCUUUGCCUUGGUCUACACAGGAAUAAAGCAAAGAAGAAACUGGUGCCUAAGGUCACACUGAUAAUAGAUGAAGUGAUGGAGCAAGGAUUCAACCGCCAGCAGUUCGGUUCCUCAGCCUGGUUUUGCCAUGUUGGCCAGGCUGGUCUCGAACUCCUGACCUCAAGUGAUCUGCCUACCUCGACCUCCCAACGUACUGGGAUUACAAGUGUGAGCCACUGCACCCAGCCUUGGCAUUUUCAUUGCUAUAUAUAAGCCCCCGAUCUCAUAUGCUACUCAUGACCAUCUGUUACACCUUAGAGGGAAUCUAAAUCAUCUAAUCACUAAAUGAUGCGCCCACUGCUUCAUCUCUACUUAUACAGUGAAAGAUCAUCGCUUUCAUCAAAGGUAUUUUGAGCAUCAAAUUGGAAAUCCUGGGAAACUCCUGGGCGUGGAGGACCUCAGAUGUCACCCUGCAGCUUUCUCUGUCUCUGAGAACAGAUCUAGAGCCUUAGUGCCAUCGCCACUACAGAUGGGCUAAAUUCAAGGACUGAUGACUACUCAAGGCUGCUAUGGAGUUAAAAUAAAUAGCAUAAGAACAUGAAUGUGACACAAUAAGGUUUUACUGGAAGAAGAGUUAGUUUUAAAAUGACAACAAUUGUAGGAAAAGCCAAAAUUUAUUAUAUACAAAAAAACAAAA
rnacentral:lncRNA from 10 species